GCGCUUAUUUCAGCGCACAUAUACUAAAAUUAGAAUGAUACAGAGAAGAUUAGCAUGGUCCCUGCACAGGGAUGACAUGCACAUUUUUGAAAAAAUUAGAAGAGAA
ensembl:snRNA U6 U6 spliceosomal RNA